rnacentral:rRNA from 1 species
GACGAACGCUGGCGGCGUGCCUAAUACAUGCAAGUAGAACGCUGAAGGAGGAGCUUGCUUCUCUGGAUGAGUUGCGAACGGGUGAGUAACGCGUAGGUAACCUGCCUGGUAGCGGGGGAUAACUAUUGGAAACGAUAGCUAAUACCGCAUAAGAUUGACUAUUGCAUGAUAGUCAGUUAAAAGGUGCAAUUGCAUCACUACCAGAUGGACCUGCGUUGUAUUAGCUAGUUGGUGGGGUAACGGCUCACCAAGGCGACGAUACAUAGCCGACCUGAGAGGGUGAUCGGCCACACUGGGACUGAGACACGGCCCAGACUCCUACGGGAGGCAGCAGUAGGGAAUCUUCGGCGAUGGACGGAAGUCUGACCGAGCAACGCCGCGUGAGUGAAGAAGGUUUUCGGAUCGUAAAGCUCUGUUGUAAGAGAAGAACGAGUGUGAGAGUGGAAAGUUCACACUGUGACGGUAUCUUACCAGAAAGGGACGGCUAACUACGUG